rnacentral:rRNA from 1 species
UGGGGGAUAUUGCACAAUGGGCGCAAGCCUGAUGCAGCGACGCCGCGUGGGGGAUGAAGGCCUUCGGGUUGUAAACUUCUUUUGCUCUGAACAAGGCGCACUUUGGGGUGUGUUGAGUGUAGGGGUUGAUUAGCGCCGGCUAACUACGUGCCAGCAGCCGCGGUAAUACGUAGGGCGCGAGCGUUGUCCGGAAUUAUUGGGCGUAAAGGGCUUGUAGGUGGCUGGUUGCGUCUGUCGUGAAAGCUCAUGGCUUAACUGUGGGUUUGCGGUGGGUACGGGCUGGCUUGAGUGCAGUAGGGGAGGCUGGAAUUCCUGGUGUAGCGGUGGAAUGCGCAGAUAUAAGGAGGAAUACCGGUGGCGAAGGCGGGUCUCUGGGCUGUUACUGACACUGAGGAGCGAAAGCAUGGGGAGCGAACAGG